rnacentral:rRNA from 1 species
GUCGAACGAUGAAGCUGGAGCUUGCUCCGGUGGAUUAGUGGCGAACGGGUGAGUAACACGUGAGAAAUCUGCCCUUGACUCUGGGAUAACUGCGGGAAACUGUAGCUAAUACCGGAUACGACACCUUGGGGCAUCCCAGGGUGUGGAAAGAAUUUCGGUCAAGGAUGAGCUCGCGGCCUAUCAGCUAGUUGGUGAGGUAAUGGCUCACCAAGGCGACGACGGGUAGCCGGCCUGAGAGGGUGACCGGCCACACUGGAACUGAGACACGGUCCAGACUCCUACGGGAGGCAGCAGUGGGGAAUAUUGCACAAUGGGCGCAAGCCUGAUGCAGCAACGCCGCGUGAGGGAUGAAGGCCUUCGGGUUGUAAACCUCUUUUAGCAGGGAAGAAGCGAAAGUGACGGUACCUGCAGAAAAAGCACCGGCUAACUACGUGCCAGCAGCCGCGGUAAUACGUAGGGUGCAAGCGUUGUCCGGAAUUAUUGGGCGUAAAGAGCUCGUAGGCGGUUUGUCGCGUCUGCUGUGAAAAUCCAAGGCUCAACCUUGGACCUGCAGUGGGUACGGGCAGACUAGAGUGCGGUAGGGGAGAUGGGAAUUCCUGGUGUAGCGGUGGAAUGCGCAGAUAUCAGGAGGAACACCAAUGGCGAAGGCACAUCUCUGGGCCGUAACUGACGCUGAGGAGCGAAAGCGUGGGGAGCGAACAGGAUUAGAUACCCUGGUAGU